AGGAACAAACUGGGGUCAGCGACUUGGGGCUUGAUGAUAGCAGCAAUGGCCUAUCAAAGACAAAGAAAGACCGGGAUAAGACACUAGGAACCAACUCCUUCUCCUAGCUUCUCCACUGAAUAGGGUAGGGACUAGCUCCUUCUCCACUGAAUAGGGUAGGGACUAGCUCCUUAUCCACUGAAUAGGAUAGGGACUAGCUCCUUAUCCACUGAAUAGGAUAGGGACUAGCUCCUUAUCCACUGAAUAGGAUAGGGACUAGCUCCUUAUCCACUGAAUAGGGUAGGGACUAGCUCCUUAUCCACUGAAUAGGAUAGGGACUAGCUCCUUAUCCACUGAAUAGGGUAGGGACUAGCUCCUUAUCCACUGAAUAGGGUAGGGACUAGCUCCUUAUCCACUGAAUAGGGUAGGGACUAGCUCCUUAUCCACUGAAUAGGAUAGGGACUAGCUCCUUAUCCACUGAAUAGGAUAGGGACUAGCUCCUUAUCCACUGAAUAGGGUAGGGACUAGCUCCUUAUCCACUGAAUAGGAUAGGGACUAGCUCCUUAUCCACUGAAUAGGGUAGGGACUAGCUCCUUAUCCACUGAAUAGGAUAGGGACUAGCUCCUUAUCCACUGAAUAGGGUAGGGACUAGCUACUUAUCCACUGAAUAGGAUAGGGACUAGCUCCUUAUCCACUGAAUAGGAUAGGGACUAGCUCCUUAUCCACUGAAU